UCUAAUAUGGCAGAUUAGUGCAUUGGAUUUAAGUCCCAAAUAUAAAGAUUAAGCUUUUUUUAGAA
rnacentral:tRNA from 1 species